rnacentral:lncRNA from 1 species
GAUUUUUCUGCCCACCAUGGUGUAGACCAUGAACACAGAUUACCUUGUGCACAGGACCGUACCCGUUGCAGCGUCAGGGGAUGGUGCAGGUUCAAGCUAGAGGGAAGACUUGGAAUUCUCUAGCGCAAAGUAGCGUUGUGCUGUUGCAUCACACUCAAGCUGAUCAUCAAACUCUGUAAGGUUCCAAGGUUCAAUGGAGGAUGGAGAUAGUAAGGGAAGGUCAGCUAUUAUUGUUUAAAAUAAAGCCUGAUGUGAGCUCUGAAGUCUAGACAGGCUUUCUAAGGUAAGAAAUCAAAUUUCAUCGUAGCUGUGAGCUCGUAACCUACCAGUUCUUUCCAAAAGAGACACCUGAUUGCUUUCCAGUCAGAACCUUUUUAAGUGUAAUGGUUUUAAGAGACUAAAUUGAAAAAAAAAAUGUUGCUUUAGAUUAUGUUGCAUUAAGAUUGUCUUUUUUUUUUUUUCUUUUAAGCUUAAGUGAUGGGGAUAUUCUAGCACAAUUGUCUGAUCUAGUUUUAGUUGCCCUGGAGGCUUCAGAGAGAUUUGAACUAGCUGGCUGGAAUAAAUUGGUCUUGAAGGAAGAGAAGUGUGAUUGCCCUCCAAAAGCUCAGGGGAACCAGGUGUGAACAUGGAGAUUCAAAGAUGAAGGACUGUGCAGAAAAGACAACAAAUUGGUGACAAGCAGAAUUCAGUACUUCUAAUCAAGUUCAGUAGUAUCUAGGGCGGUUGUUUGAGAGGUUUUUGUAGUUAUUUUUCCCUGUGUCACAGCUUUUGAAGUUAAAUGCAUCAUGCUAGUCACUUUAUUUGCGUUCAUCAACAAGAAUGGAUAGAAUGAGAAUUUAGGGGCAAGUAGUACUUGAUUAAAUAGAGGGUAUAAGGUGAGAUUUGAUGGUGCUAGGCAGGGGGCCUUAGGUGCCAAACAGCAAACAGCAGCAGAAGCUUUAUGUUUUAGAGUUGCACCUUCACUUCAAGCAGCAGCAUUUCACCCCUGAAUUGCACCUGUUUCUGUAUCUGCCCCUCAGCCACAAGGUGGUGUAAAGCUGCUUUAAGUGAAGAGUGGCUCACCAUGAAGCCUUCAAGUAAGCUAAG